UUGAAACAUGAAACAUGGUGGACAAUUUACUGGUUUAACUUGUUAAAAUAAAGUUAAGGAAAUUUAACAAACAGAAGAGUUCAUUAGUUUUUCCAUUAAAAACACUUCCUUAAAAUACUUAUGUAUUUAUAUCAUUUGGAAAGUGACAUGAAAUAUUGCUAAAGAGUGAUGCAUACAGUGUUUGAGCAGUCUGUCUAGGAAUAGAACAACAACUGAAGUUGAUGGAAGAUACUGCAGAGUUUGGCAGGGAAAUAAUCCAACAGCAAAGCGGCUCUUUAAGCGCAUUUACCUAGAGGACUUACAGGGCCACAAAUUCAUGAGCACAUGUGAGCAGUAUACUAUGUACCUCAUACCAAAAAGGACCCGGAGGCAGUGACUGGUGUUCAAUAUUUUCAGAAGAAAAGGAAAAUGGCAGUGGAAGACUUGGACAAACAUUUUUAAAAACUAGCCUCUGUGUUAAGCCUGGCAGUCUGUGGCUGGUGACAUGUUUUAUUUUGGUUACUUCUUGUAUAAAAAAGACCAGUUAUUUAUUUUGUGAAUUGUAUUUUGUGUUUGUUUUUUGUCUUAAUUUAUUUGUGUUUUUUUUUAAUUUAGGAAUUUGAAACUUGGAUAAUUGAAUUAAGUCCGUGUUCAACAGUACUGAGCAUAGUAUAAUAAAUAACAAAUUUACAACAGUUGUUAAUUUGUUAUGUAUUAUUAUUAACUAUGCUCAGUACUUGAAUACUGGCUGUCUGCAUGGGAAUUUGUUUUCUAGAAAGUUGGUUUCAGACUUAAAUAUUUGAAGUUAACCUUCGGAACUUUUCUAGAAUUGUACUGGAACACAUCAACUAGAACUGAACUUCUGUUAUCAUACUGAAAGUGUUCUAGAAUUAAUAAGGAACAGUUGUUGAACGUUAAAAUUUAUGAGAAAAAACUUUAGAACAAUUGUGCGUGAUGUGUGUGUGCAUGUAAUUGUGUGUGUUUAUGAACAUAUGUGAGAAAGGAAGCAUACUUGUCAUAAGAGAAAUGUACAAUUCUACUUCUAUGUUUUAUAUUGUGCCUUUUAUAAGUUUUUCUUUUCUCACCUGUAUAUGCGUGCAUGUUUAUGGAUGUGUUUUUGAAUGUGUGCAUGCAUGCCUGUGGUUAAGAGAGUUGGUACUUUAUGAAAAUGUAAAACCACUCAUUUUUGAAUAUGUACUGUGACUGCAUGUGUGUGGUUAAUGAUCGAUGCCAGAUCUUGUUCUUGUUUAACUUCUAUGAUGAAACCUUUAGUUACAUUCACAUUUGUUUUUCAAAAUCAAUAAAAUGCCUUUUGAU